rnacentral:lncRNA from 1 species
UGGUUAAGCACAAAGGUGUAAAAGUGUUGCAAAGUAAUACCGAUGACAGACUUGUUAUGUAAUGGAGAAGUUCCGGAAUAGUGUGAGUACUCAUCAAGAAUAAUGACAUAACAUUUAUAACUCGAAAAACUAAAAUAGGAGAAGUCCACAAAUGAGGGUGUAUUAUUUGGAACGAGCGGUAGUAAAAUAAUGGGAUGGAUAAAAAGGCAAGCAUUGUUGUUGUCCAAUUUAGCAAGAAUCACAAACAUGAGAUUGCAGACUUGUUCUAUUACAUGAUGGAAGAAAAUUUGUAGCUAUUAUAGAAAAAGGAAGCUCGGCUCAGCUGAUCCCCAAGACUCCGUUGCCCCAAAUCGCCGAAGCUAGUUGUACAACAAGCUCUGGCGCAACUUUUAUUCAUCAAGCAGAAGUUGUAGAGGUCGCCUGAGCUAUUUGAUCUCUGGAGGAUUCUCGUUGUUUCUAGGUCCUUGAAAGAGGAACAAUAGGGAUCAG